rnacentral:hammerhead_ribozyme from 1 species
AUCCAGCUGACGAGUCUCAAAUAUGACGAAACGCGUGUCCUGGAU